GACGAACCGUGCGAACGUUGUUCGGAAUCACUGGGCUUAAAGGGCGCGUAGGCGGACCUCCAAGUCCGGGGUGAAAUCUUUCGGCUUAACCGGAAAAGUGCCUUGGAUACUGGGGGUCUCGAGGGAGGCGAGGGCGGAGUGGAACUUCCGGUGGAGCGGUGAAUGCGUUGAUAUCGGAAGGAACGCCGGUGGCGAAAGCGAUCCGCUGGACCUCUUCUGACGCUGAGGCGCGAAAGCCAGGGGAGCAAACAGG
rnacentral:rRNA from 1 species